AUGCAAUAUAAUGACACUGGACCUGCAUUAAAUAUUGGCUCAAGAAAAAGCUUUAAAAAUUGUAAAUUGUUGCACUCAGAGACAACCAAGCUCAAAACGUCUAACCCUUCAACCACUCUACUUCUUUUGGCUCUACUCUGCGUUUCAGCAGUUGCAGCAACAAGAACAAAGUUGAACUCAAUCAACAAUCUGGAUGAUGGGAUUUGCAAGUCAAUGGUGGAGACACAAGGCUAUACUUGCCAAGAACACGAAUUAACAACAGCAGAUGGGUACAUCCUUGGCUUGCAGAGGAUUCCGAAUGGACGAUCCUGUAAUGAGACAGCAGAAAAGCUGCCCGUUCUGUUACAACAUGGGGUCUUCCUGGAUGCUUCAUCAUGGCUACUCAAUCCGCCGGAUCAAGCUUUGCCAUUUAUUUUGGCUGACAAUGGUUUUGAUGUAUGGCUUGUCAACAGUCGCGGGACAAGCCCUAGCCGCGGAAACACAUCGCUUAGUCCUAAAGAUCCGGCUUACUGGGUGGUCAUGGGAUGAAUUGGUUGCGUAUGAUCUUCCUGCUUCAUUCCAGUAUGUGAACAAUCAAACAGGACAUAAAUUACACUAUGUGGGGCAUUCCUUGGGAACUUUGACUGCCCUUGCUGCCUUCUCCGAAGAAAAGCUGUUAAACUUGCUAAGAUCAGCUGCUUUGCUUAGCCCUGUAGCUUAUCUGGGUCACAUUUCCUCACUGAUUUUAAGACCUGCUGUUGACAUAUUUGCUGCAGAAAAACUGAAAUUGUUGGGCUGGCUGGAAUUUCCGAAUGGGCAGAUCCAACAACUUGUGGAGUUUAUCUGCACAACACGGGGCAUUGACUGCUCGAACCUCCUGGCAGCUAUAGGAGGCCCAAAUUGCUGCCUCAAUUCUUCAAGCAUAGAUGCUUUAGUUGAAAAUGAUCCACAGCCAACUGCGACGAAAAACCUUAUACAUCUAUCUCAGAUUGUCAGAAAGGGAACCGUAGAAAUGUAUGAUUAUGGUCUUGAAGACACGAACAUAAAACACUACAAGAAACCCACUCCUCCUGUGUACAACAUGGCAAACAUUCCGAAAGACGUUCCUCUUUUCUUCAGCUAUGGAGGGAGAGAUUCGAUUGCUGGCGUCAACGAUGUGGGGAUUUUGCUUGACAAGCUCCGAGAUCAUGACAGGGACAAGCUUGUGGUAGAAUACAGAGAGGAGUAUGCUCAUGUGGAUUUUAUUAUGAGUGUGAAUGCCAACCAAGUUGUGUAUGGUCCUCUACUGGCCUUCUUCAGGCUCCAUUGAGAGUUUAGUUACUUUUGCAAUCUAUAACAUAUUGCCUUUUGUAGGGUUUUGUUCACCAUUAAUAAUGAGAUUUAUGACUA